rnacentral:rRNA from 1 species
CGAACGCUGGCGGCGUGCUUAACACAUGCAAGUCGAGCGAUGAGAUCACUUCGGUGAAGGAUUAGCGGCGAACGGGUGAGGAACACGUGAAGAAUCUGCCUUCAACUCUGGGAUAACUCCGGGAAACCGGGGCUAAUACCGGAUAUGAGCCUUGAUCGCAUGAUCGGGGCUGGAAAGUUUUUCGGUCGAAGAUGACUUCGCGGCCUAUCAGCUUGUUGGUGAGGUAAUGGCUCACCAAGGCGACGACGGGUAGCCGGCCUGAGAGGGCGACCGGCCACACUGGGACUGAGACACGGCCCAGACUCCUACGGGGAGCAGCAGUGGGGAAUAUUGGGCAAUGGAGGAAACUCUGACCCAGCGACGCCGCGUGAGGGAUGAAGGCCUUCGGUUGUAAACCUCUUCAGUAGGAAGAAGCGAAGUGACGGUACCUACAGAAGAAGCACCGGCUAACUAUGUGCCAGCA